GAUGAAAGCUCCGGCGGCAUAGGAUGGGCCUGCGACGUAUCAGUUUUUAGGGGGUGUAACGUACCCUCUAGCCGUCAACGCGUACGGGUGUUGGGAGACAUAGCCCGGAGAUGGAUUCUGAGACACGAAUCCAGACCCUACGGGGUGCAGCAGGCGCGAAAACUUGGCAAUGCGAGCAAUCGUGACCAGGGAACUCCAAGUGGCUGGGGUAAUACCCAGUUUUUUCUUGACUCUUCAAAGGUCUUGGAAUAAGGGGUGGGUAAGGACGGUGCCAGCCGCCGCGGUAAUACCGGCGCCUCAAGUGGUAGUCGCUUUUAUUGGGCCUAAAACGUCCGUAGCCGGUCUGGUGCAUUCGUGGGUAAAUCAACCCGCUCAACGGGUUGAAUUCUGCGAGCACGGCCAGACUUGGGACCGGGAGAGGUGUGGGGUACUCUCAGGGUAGGGGUAAAAUCCUGUCAUCCUGAGAGGACCACCUGUUGCGAAGGCGCCACACUAGAACGGAUUCGACGGUCAGGGACGAAACCUAGGGGCACGAACCGGAUUAGAUACCCGGGUAGUCCUAGGUGUAAACGCUGUGGACUUGAUGUUGGGGGUGCUCCGAGCACUCUCAGUGUCGAAGCGAAGGUGAUAAGUCCACUGCCUGGGGAGUACGGUCGCAAGGCUGAAACUUAAAGGAAUUGGCGGGGGAGCACUGCAACCUGAGGAUUGUGCGGUUUAAUUGGACUCAACGCCGGGA
rnacentral:rRNA from 1 species